AGUGAACGCUGGCGGUAGGCCUAACACAUGCAAGUCGAACGGCAGCACAGUAAGAGCUUGCUCUUACGGGUGGCGAGUGGCGGACGGGUGAGGAAUACAUCGGAAUCUACUUUUUCGUGGGGGAUAACGUAGGGAAACUUACGCUAAUACCGCAUACGACCUACGGGUGAAAGCAGGGGAUCUUCGGAUCUUGCGCGAUUGAAUGAGCCGAUGUCGGAUUAGCUAGUUGGCGGGGUAAAGGCCCACCAAGGCGACGAUCCGUAGCUGGUCUGAGAGGAUGAUCAGCCACAUUGGAACUGAGACACGGUCCAGACUCCUACGGGAGGCAGCAGUGGGGAAUAUUGGACAAUGGGCGCAAGCCUGAUCCAGCCAUACCGCGUGGGUGAAGAAGGCCUUCGGGUUGUAAAGCCCUUUUGUUGGGAAAGAAAAGCAGCAGGUUAAUACCCCGCUGUUCUGACGGUACCCAAAGAAUAAGCACCGGCUAACUUCGUG
rnacentral:rRNA from 1 species